rnacentral:rRNA from 1 species
CUGANCCAGCCAUGCCGCGUGCAGGAAGACGGCCCUAUGGGUUGUAAACUGCUUUUGCAGGCGGAAAAAAGCGGGAUUGCGAUCCCGUCCGAUGGUAGUCUGCGAAUAAGAAUCGGCUAACUCCGUG